GAACAACACCAACAACAUCUUUGACAACUGGCUCAACUGAGUCCACCACCAGUUCCACAACAGAAAUAACUCCAUCAACAUCUGGGACCACCACUACAUCAGAAACGACACCAACAACUGAGACCACAACCAGCACUACAUCAGAAACGACACCAACAACUGAGAUCACCACCAGCACUAC